rnacentral:rRNA from 1 species
UACGUAGGGGGCAAGCGUUGUCCGGAAUCAUUGGGCGUAAAGAGCGUGUAGGCGGCUUGGUAAGUCCGCUGUGAAAGUCCAGGGCUCAACCCUGGAAUGCCGGUGGAAACUGUCAAGCUUGAGUCCGGAAGGGGCGAGUGGAAUUCCUGGUGUAGCGGUGAAAUGCGCAGAUAUCAGGAGGAACACCAAUGGCGAAGGCAGCUCGCUGGGACGUGACUGACGCUGAGACGCGAAAGCGUGGGGAGCAAACAGG